GAUCAACGCUGGCGGCGUGCCUAAUACAUGCAAGUCGAGCGAACAGAUAAGGAGCUUGCUCCUUUGACGUUAGCGGCGGACGGGUGAGUAACACGUGGGUAACCUACCUAUAAGACUGGAAUAACUCCGGGAAACCGGGGCUAAUGCCGGAUAACAUUUAGAACCGCAUGGUUCUAAAGUGCAAGAUGGUUUUGCUAUCACUUAUAGAUGGACCCGCGCCGUAUUAGCUAGUUGGUAAGGUAACGGCUUACCAAGGCAACGAUACGUAGCCGACCUGAGAGGGUGAUCAGCCACACUGGAACUGAGACACGGUCCAGACUCCUACGGGAGGCAGCAGUAGGGAAUCUUCCGCAAUGGGCGAAAGCCUGACCGAGCCACGCCGCGUGAGUGAUGAAGGUCUUCGGAUCGUAAAACUCUGUUAUUGGGGAAGAACAAAUGUGUAAGUAACUGUGCACGUCUUGACGGUACCUAAUCAGAAAGCCACGGCUAACUACGUG
rnacentral:rRNA from 1 species